rnacentral:rRNA from 1 species
AGCAGCCGCGGUAAUUCCAGCUCCAAUAGCGUAUAUUAAAGUUGUUGCAGUUAAAAAGCUCGUAGUUGAAUUUCGGGAUUGACACAUCGGUCGUACCUUAAGGGUGUGAACUGGUGUAGUCAAUUUCUCACCUUCUGGAGAACCGCGAUGUCCUUAAUUGGGUGCCGCGAGGAACCAGGACCUUUACUUUGAAAAAAUUAGAGUGUUUAAAGCAGGCAUUUUUGCUUGAAUACAUUAGCAUGGAAUAAUAAAUAGGACGGCAUGAUUCUAUUUUGUUGGUUUCUAGGAUCACCGUAAUGAUUAAUAGGGAUAGUUGGGGGCAUUAGUAUUCAAUUGUCAGAGGUGAAAUUCUUGGAUUUAUUGAAGACUAACUACUGCGAAAGCAUUUGCCAAGGAUGUUUUCAUUAAUCAAGAACGAAAGUUAGGGAUCGAAGACGAUCAGAUACCGUCGUAGUCUUAACCAUAAACCUAUGACCGACUAGGAAUCAGACGAUGUUAAUUUUUAAUGACUUCGUUGGCA